CUGAGAACUCUUCCAGAGGUAGAUGCUUAGAGCGGACUCCUUCCCACACAAGCUUCUUCAAAAGAGCAGCUAUGGAGCCCACCUUGUGCUAAAGUUACAAAAGAUUUGCUGGAAGAACUUGCUGUGUGUAGUGGGACUGCAACAUGAUCUUCUUCCAGUCAUGACUGAAGAGCUGCCUGUGGUAUGCCUGAUGGCUGCUGACACGUAUGACAGAGUGUCUGAUUACAGGAACGUUAUCAGUUGAAGUACUGCCAUCAAAUGCUGCACACAAUUCCCUGCAGCUCUCCUGGAAGGUGGCUAUGUGGUGCCCACGCAUGGUAACAUCUGAAAGACUACACGGUGCAGAAAACAAGGGGGCAAGAGGAUAACUGUCGUAUGCCAAGGAGGAAGAGAGACAUACUUCAACAUGCUUCCUGUCAAAGUGUGAAUUACAGGGAGCCUGAGUAUGCUUUCAAUGCAGACAAGAUUGCUUUUCUGAGGUUCACCUCAGUGCACAGUGCUAAGUAGACCUGGUCAGAGGUUUCUGAAAUUUGGUCUUCCUGAUGAGAAGAGUUAAAUUAUACUUAAAUAAACAACAAUUAAAUCCUG